CCUCACAAGGAAGAUAAGCUUGAGCCUAAAAUUUGUUUAAGCGGUCAAGAAAAAUCAAAUUUCUCAUAAGUAUAUAUUAAAUGUAUUUUUGUAACUGCCUGAAAAACCUUUUUAUUGUCUAUCAAGAAUCAUGUGAAAAAUCGAGUUUCUUUACUUCCAAAAACAAAAAAUAUUCUUACCGACGGAUUGGGCAUACACCUCCUAGACAUAGGAUCCGGACUUCUAUAAGUAGGCGAGUACCUCCCAGCGAAACAAGCCCCCGAUGACGUAAUAGGCCCAUGAAGUCCCGUAGGACCCUUAACUCCCAUCAUUUUAUCAGGCGAGUACAUUUUAGGAAUCGUGUAAUAAAAGAAGUUUCUUCCCGACUUUGUAAGACAUCAGAUGUGGAUACAGCUAAAUCGUGCACCAACUCACUUCAGUUCAAAUGUCAGGGAACAUAUCACGCACCAAUUUAGUAAUAGAUGGAUUGGAAGGCUAGAUCCCAUUGGAUGGCCUCUUAGGUCACCGGAUUUAACGCCUCUGGAUUUCUUUUUAUGAGGAAAUGUUAAAUCCGAAGUUUAUCGUGUUGUACCCACAACUAGGAAAGAUAUGGUGGAGCACAUACAAGAGUCUUUUAGACGUAUUACGUCUUCUACGCUUCGUGCAGUUAGAAGAAUUUUCGCACGUAGGUUUGAUUUGUGUUUGGAGCAAAACCGUAGACACUUGAGCAAUUUUUGUGAUAUAACUCUUUUUAUAAUGUAUUUUAUUAACGUUGUUAAUGUUUUUGGUGAACUGU